GAGAGAGUCGGGCGGUUCCCCCGUUCGGGGGGACGAGGGUGGACAGGUGGUGCAUGGUUGUCGUCAGCUCGUGUCGUGAGAUGUUGGGUUAAGUCCCGCAACGAGCGCAACCCUCGACCUUAGUUGCCAGCAUUCAGUUGGGCACUCUAAGGUGACUGCCGGCUAAAAGUCGGAGGAAGGUGGGGAUGACGUCAAAUCAUCAUGCCCCUUAUGACCUGGGCUACACACGUGCUACAAUGGGCGGUACAAAGGGUCGCGAACCCGCGAGGGGGAGCCAAUCCCAAAAAGCCGCUCUCAGUUCGGAUUGCAGGCUGCAACUCGCCUGCAUGAAGCCGGAAUCGCUAGUAAUCGCGGAUCAGCAUGCCGCGGUGAAUACGUUCCCGGGCCUU
rnacentral:rRNA from 1 species